rnacentral:lncRNA from 1 species
UAGAACGUGACGCCAAUCGAAAAGCAUCACAGGGGCAUAGCUGCGGUAUAUGAUGCCCAGCUCAGUCUGCCACGACUUGCACCAUCUUCUAAUGGACUUGGUGUAGCUGGAUGGUAUCUCGAUACGGAGAUGCUGUCCUGAGUGCUCGCGUCUCUGACGCUCUAGAACGAAGUUCUUCGAUGGACCUCGCCCUUGCACUAUCGAUAAAGAUUGGUCUGAAAUAAUAAUAAAUAAAUCAUUAGUAUAAUAGCUAUCUAAAUAAAAAAUUAAAUUUUAUUAUAUAAAAAGUAUAAUAAUAUCACUCGAAUCCAUCUCACUAGGACCCGCCUCAUUGGGACCCACCUCACUGGGACCUACCAGUGCAGGAUCCUCUAGCAAUGGGGCCGGUGUAGCAAUGGAGAUCGAUGAAGGUGCCUCAACCUCUUCGAUAGACUGUGAAUGCAAAUAUCGUUGUUUG